rnacentral:rRNA from 1 species
AAAGAUCGAAUGGGGAGAUUCAUCGACAACGAGGCUGGCUUCCGUUGGUGUGCGAUACCCCGAAUGGGCCUUCGUGGUUCCAAUGCGAGGGUACACCACUUUCGGCAAAUGUUCCGGCUACGUAGUCGUGCACUUCUCCCUUUGUAGAACGUCGCGACCCGUUGCGUGUCGGUCUACGGCCCGAGUUGUUGCCUGUCGUGUCGCCUCGUGCGCACACGGCAGACGCUCGAUCGCCUGGCCGGCUGCGUGACGGUACUCUGACGGUAUCGGGCCGCAACCAAUCCAUUUUCGAAUGUAUGUGCGUCAGGCCCGCCGCAAGCUCGGUUAGUUUACCCGGAGGUACGGACCUGGUGCCGGCUCCAGGCCUGACCAGCUGUUGGCAGGCGGUGUCCUCGGACUGGCCAAGCUUCGAAUUACCGGUCAGCGACGCUACUGCUUUGGGUACUCUCAGGACCCGUCUUGAAACACGGACCAAGGAGUCUAACAUGUGCGCGAGUCAUUGGGACAUGUAAACCUAAAGGCGCAAUGAAAGUGAAGGUUGGCCUUCGCGUCGACCGAGGGAGGAUGGGCCGCGUUACGAUGCGGCCUCGCACUCCCGGGGCGUCUCGUACUCAUUGCGAGAAGAG